CAGCAGCCGCGGUAAUACGGAGGGUGCAAGCGUUAAUCGGAAUUACUGGGCGUAAAGCGCACGCAGGCGGUCUGUCAAGUCGGAUGUGAAAUCCCCGGGCUCAACCUGGGAACUGCAUUCGAUACUGGGAAGCUAGAGUAUGGGAGAGGAUGGUAGAAUUCCAGGUGUAGCGGUGAAAUGCGUAGAGAUCUGGAGGAAUACCGAUGGCGAAGGCAGCCAUCUGGCCUAAUACUGACGCUGAGGUACGAAAGCAUGGGGAGCAAACAGGAUUAGAUACCCCAGUAGUCCCUGUCUCUUAUAA
rnacentral:rRNA from 1 species